GUCCCAAACAGUCAGACAUGACUGAAGUUAGUUCACACAUAUGCACACAAAGAGAUUCUGCAGAGGAGUCUCAGAUGAGAAGUUUGUCCUGGGUCACUCAGAUGGACCUAGUAUAAUCCCAGGGGUCCUUAAAAGAUGAAAAAGAGUGCCAAGAGGGUAAGAAAAGGAGACAGGAGGAUGGAAACAGAGGUUGGAGGGGUGUAACUGCUGGAAGGGGCAUAAACUGAGGAUUCAGGAGUCCCUGGACCUGGAAAGGACAGACAAACAGAUUCUCCCUUAGAGCUGCUGGAGGCAGGGUGAUCCCCUGAUGCUUCUCUUGGCUCAGGAAAACCCAUUCUGGACUGCUGACCUCCAAAUGUAUGUAAGAUAAUACUUCUUGGCCGUCUUAAGCCACUUAGUAUGCAACAAUUUGUUACAGCAGCCAGAGGAAACUCAUACAAAGAGAGAAACCAUGAUGGCUUGAUGUAAGAAAACAAAAUGGAAAAAAAAAAUGCUUAAGAAAAGGAGCAAGAGAGGCAAGAUAGAAGGAACCGGAGACAAGGAGCCGGGCCUGUGAGGGGGAAGGGCUGGGCACUGGAGGCUGCUCUGUCCUGGGUGCCUGAGGCGGGGAGGACAUGGGUACAGGGCAGUGUGGUGAAGGGAGCGGGAGGGUGCUGAGCCCAAAGACAGCUAGGCCAUCUUCUGCCUCCCCAUCUCAGCCUGUGUUCCUGGAGAGCAGAGCCGAGCCAGGUGUCAGUGUGAGCGGUUAAGCUGAGAGUGAAGGAUGGGAGCGAGAGAGGAUCAAACAGAGGAGUGGGAGGUGAGCUGGGAUGCAGUACUGAGGCUGUUACCAGCAGAGAGCCCACUGCCCGAGUCCUGACUAGGGCACCAGCUCCUGAGGAAAGAGCUUUAUCGUAGGUCAACUAUAGGCAAGGAGUCAGGAAGCAGGGCUCGAAUCCAUCUCCAGAUCCAGGGUUUGGGAUGAAAUCUAAGGGACUGGGGGAAAUUUCAAACUUGGAAGUGAAGUCCUGAGUUAGAAUCGUUUCACCUGGCAUCACUAAUCAAGGUUGCUUCAAGACUUGCAUGUUCUCCAAGGGGUGUGUGUGUGUGUACACUCAGUCAUGGCCAACUCUUUUGUGACCGCAUGGACUGUAAUCCUCCAGGCUCCUCUGCCCAUGGGAUCCUCCAGAUGGACAGCUGCCCUGAGAAUCUGAGUGCUGCGUGGAGACCAAAGGCCAUUUGGAGGGAGGUCUCCCCCGACUUGGUCAUAGAAUACCAGGAGACAGAGAGGAAUGGCACCAGGAGAGCACAAUGAACUGACAUAAAUCCUGUCCGUGUACUAACACUCUGACCCCAGUAAGAAGAUGGAUGAGAACAGUGAUUUCAAACAGCACGGGAAGCCCUGAGCAGGUUAGCGCUUCUUCUGGGAAAAAGGCAUUCAUUGUUUCAACUGUUCAUUCAACCAACUUCACUGCCCCCUGUACAGGCAGCGGUGGGAUGCAGAAGCUGGGGACGUGGGCUCUGAGGCCAGUCGCCUGGAUCCUGUUCUCAGGCCUGUGACCGUGCAUUAGUAGUAUACCUGUGCAAGGUUAGUGGGCGCCGUUUCUCCUGUGAAAUAGGAUUAAUGGCAUGCGGUCAUUGUGAGGAUUAAACGAGAAUUCAUGGACCUGCUUAAGGACGAUGUCUGACAUUUAGUAAGUACUUAACAAUGUUAGCUGUUACAGCAGAUACAUAGCCGCUGUACAGAUACUUGGAUCUUGGAAAGGGCAGGCUCUUGUCUGUAGAGGUAAGAUUCAGAGUUAUUGCUUGGCAGAACCUGGUUCUGAGUCAUGAUAUAGGAGACUCGUCCUGGGCCUCAUAACUAGUCGUGACCACCUCAUUCUCUCUGGCUGGCCGGUGGUCUAGGAAUGGCCCUGAUGCAGAGUUCUGGCCAAAGAGAUACAAAUGGGUACCUUCUUGCUGACACUCCUGGAAAAUCUUGCUUUCCUGAUUUAAAACCAGACAACAACAAAAACCAGAAGACCUUUUGGCCUGGAACACAUUUAUGAUGCUUGGAGGUAGAGCAGCCAUUUUAUGACUCUGAGGUCACAGAAUGAAGACAAAAGCUGUUGUGCUAAAGGUGAUUUUUUUUUUUUUUUUAAAGAACCCAGUUCUUUAAGGGUAUAUUUAAGUAACUCCACCAGAUUACCUACCCCCAAACUUCUUACCAAA